rfam:Curvibacter sp. GWA2_64_110 gwa2_scaffold_819, whole genome shotgun sequence.
AAGUCAGGAGUGCUGUCGAUUACGGCGCGUUGGGCGUUUGUUCCACCUGGCCA